GUCCUCUUCCUCUGCCUCUGAAGGGUGAUUGGCUGGUUCUAUGAAAUAAUCUCUGUUCACCUGUCGAGAAAGUUCAAUGUUCAAAUCAGUUUAUACUGAUAUAAAAAAUGAGGGACAUAUCUGUAAGAGUUAAACUUACAUCAAAGGGUGCACUAUCUCAAUCUACCAUUGAACUGAUUUUCAGUUGACCUAUUUUGCUUUUCCCUAGAUCAAACUGCAGCAUGUAAUGGUGUUCAUGUGUCAACACUGGCUCGUCACUCCAUGCUUACUGAGGCUAUCUGGGCUGAGAGGUAGAGGCUAUCUGGGCUGAGAGGUAAACGCUAUCUGGGCUGAGAGGUAGAGGCUAUCUGGGCUGAGAGGUAGAGGCCAUCUGGGCUGAGAGGUAGAGGCCAUCUGGGCUGAGAGGUAGAGGCUAUCUGGGCUGAGAGGUAGAGGCUAUCUGGGCUGAGAGGUAAACGCUAUCUGGGCUGAGAGGUAGAGGCUAUCUGGGCUGAGAGGUAGAGGCCAUCUGGGCUGAGAGGUAGAGGCCAUCUGGGCUGAGAGGUAGAGGCUAUCUGGGCUGAGAGAUAGAGGCUAUCUGGGCUGAGAGGUAAACGCUAUCUGGGCUGAGAGGUAGAGGCUAUCUGGGCUGAGCGGUAGAGACUAUCUGGCCUGAGAGUUAGAUGCUAUCUGGGCUGAAAGGUAGAGGCUAUCUGGGCUGAGAGGUAGAGACUAUCUGGGCUGAGUGGUAGAGGCUAUCUGGGCUGAGCGGUAGAGGCUAUCUGGGAUGAGAGGUAGAGGCUAUCUGGGCUGAGAGGUAGAGGCUAUCUGGGCUGAGAGGUAGAGGCUAUCUGGGCUGAGAGGUAGAGGCUAUCUGGGCUGAGAGGUAAACGCUAUCUGGGCUGAGAGGUAGAGGCUAUCUGGGCUGAGAGGUAGAGACUAUCUGGUUUGAGAGUUAGAUGCUAUCUGGGCUGAAAGGUAGAGGCUAUCUGGGCUGAGAGGUAGAGGCUAUCUGGGCUGAGAGGUAGAGGCUAUCUGGGCUGAGAGGUAGAGGCUAUCUGGGCUGAGAGGUAGAGGCUAUCUGGGCUGAGAGGUAGAGGCUAUCUGGGCUGAGAGGUAGAGGCUAUCUGGGCUGAGAGGUAGAGGCUAUCUGGGGUGAGAGGUAGAGGCUAUCUGGGGUGAGAGGGAGAUGCUAUCUGGGCUGAGAGGUAGAAGCUAUCUGGGCUGACAGGUAGAGGCUAUCUGGGCUGAGAGGUAGAGGCUAUCUGGGCUGAGAGGUAGAGGCUAUCUGGGCUGAGAGGCAGAAGCUCAACGUGUGAGACAAAGACCUUUAAUCUGACAGGGAAAAGCAAAUAGUGUACUAAUUGAAACUGGAGCAGGACCCGUGUUACUGUUGAGGAAAAUUCCAUCCAAAGAUUA